rnacentral:rRNA from 1 species
AGCGAACGCUGGCGGCAGGCCUAACACAUGCAAGUCGAACGGACCCUUCGGGGUUAGUGGCGGACGGGUGAGUAACACGUGGGAACGUGCCUUUAGGUUCGGAAUAGCUCCUGGAAACGGGUGGUAAUACCGAAUGUGCCCUUCGGGGGAAAGAUUUAUCGCCUUUAGAGCGGCCCGCGUCUGAUUAGCUAGUUGGUGAGGUAAUGGCUCACCAAGGCGACGAUCAGUAGCUGGUCUGAGAGGAUGACCAGCCACAUUGGGACUGAGACACGGCCCAAAUUCCUACGGGAGGCGGCGGUGGGGAAUCUUGCGCAAUGGGCGAAAGCUUGACGCAGCCAUGCCGCGUGAAUGAUGAAGGUCUUAGGAUUGUAAAAUUCUUUCACCGGGGACGAUAAUGACGGUACCCGGAGAAGAAGCCCCGGCUAACUUCGUGCCAGCCGCCGCGGUAAUAC